GCUUAACCGAAGAAGUGCAUCGGAAACUGGGUGACUUGAGUGCAGAAGAGGACAGUGGAACUCCAUGGGUAGCGGUGGAAUGCGUAGAUAUAUGGAAGAACACCAGUGGCGAAGGCGGCUGUCUGGUCUGCAACUGACGCUGAGGCUCGAAAGCAUGGGUAGCGAACAGGAUUAGAUACCCUGGUAGUCCAUGCCGUAAACGAUGAGUGCUAGGUGUUGGAGGGUUUCCGCCCUUCAGUGCCGGAGCUAACGCAUUAAGCACUCCGCCUGGGGAGUACGACCGCAAGGUUGAAACUCAAAGGAAUUGACGGGGGCCCGCACAAGCGGUGGAGCAUGUGGUUUAAUUCGAAGCUACGCGAAGAACCUUACCAGGUCUUGACAUCUUGCGCUAACCUAAGAGAUUAGGCGUUCCCUUCGGGGACGCAAUGACAGGUGGUGCAUGGUCGUCGUCAGCUCGUGUCGUGAGAUGUUGGGUUAAGUCCCGCAACGAGCGCAACCCUUGUUACUGGUUGCCAGCAUUCAGUUGGGCACUCUAGUGAGACUGCCGGUGACAAACCGGAGGAAGGUGGGGACGACGUCAGAUCAUCAUGCCCCUUAUGACCUGGGCUACACACGUGCUACAAUGGUCGGUACAACG
rnacentral:rRNA from 1 species